AGGGGAUUCUUCCAAUGGGACAGGAUCAUGCCUUCUAAGCAUGGAACGCCGGUUCGAACCCGGCAUCCCCUUCCA
rnacentral:tRNA from 1 species